CAGCCUGGAUUCGAACCAGGGACUGUAGUAACGCCUCUUGCACUGAGAUGCAGUGCCUUAGACCGCUGCAACACUCGGGAGUCCCAACAUUUUCUUCCUAUAAGCACAAGCAAGGUACAGUAUCUAUCCAUGACAGAUGUUGGUUGUGAUACUGUGUGUUGUGUCUGUGUGUAGGCUCAACAGAUCCCUGUCAGGCUGGGUGGAAAGGCACUGUGGUCGAGGGGGUCAGCCCUGUUUCAGUACCCUGAGACGGACCACCGCAGUUGGGCAUGGAGGAGUCGACUGUGACACUGACAUGGUGCUGCUGAAGAGAGACUCGUGUGCAGGUCAGGACUCUGCAGUAGUGAUGGUGGAUGAGUUGAUGAGUCUGCGGCCUCACCAGCUGAGCUUCUGAGGCAAGCCUCUGUCUCCUGAUCACCCCACAUUUCCCCCCCUACACACGCCUCCGCAUGGCAGGACGCAUGGUCAUCACUGAGAGACAGAGGUUGAUCCGUGCUCGGUGCCAGGAGCACGAUGGGGCCACAUGGGGAAUAGAGAGCGGUGGG